AACAUGCGCCCCCUUCUCUCCCAGCCGUCGGAUGUUGUUGUGCCCACACUGGUUGUUCAACCACCGUCCGAUGGGUUGACGCCUGAGUUUUGUGAAAUAGUAUGAUAUAGGUGUUGAAAUUUGAUCGAUUCCUAUUGGGUGUGUGUGAAAUGUGAACAAGAUUUGAUUUUGUAUGGAGAUUAGGUUGUUUUUUUGACAACAUCGGGCAUAGUAGUGGUUGUUGCUAUGGAGUCUGAAGAACUAAUAAAUCUGAGCAACAAAAAGAGUAAUUGUGGUGGAAAUAAUAGCAAGAGUGGUGAUGGUUUCGUUGACAGAAGCAAAGUUCGGAUUUUGUUAUGCGAUAAUGAUUCAAAGAGUUCCGAAGAGGUUGUUACUCUUCUUUUGAGAUGCUCUUAUCAGGUUACUUCGGUAAGGUCACCAAGGCAAGUAAUUGAUGCGCUGAAUGCAGAAGGGCAAUUUAUAGAUAUCAUACUAGCUGAAGUUGACCUUCCAAUAAAGAAAGGCAUGAAGAUGUUGAAGUUCAUAGCACGAGAUAAAGAAUUCAGCCGAAUCCCUGUUAUAAUGAUGUCUGCACAAGAUGAAGUAUCUAUUGUUGUCAAGUGCUUGAGACUUGGAGCAGCAGACUAUCUAGUAAAGCCGUUAGGCUCUAAUGAACUAUUAAAUUUGUGGACGCACAUGUGGAGAAGGAGACGCAUGAUUGGACUUGCAGAGAACAGCAUCUUGAAUUAUGACUUUGAUCUGGUAGCAUCGGACCCAAGUGAUGCCAAUACAAAUAGUACCACCUUGUUUUCUGAUGACAUAGAUGAUAAGUCCAAAAGAAGCACUAAUCCGGAGGAAGAAAUAUCAAUCCAACAAGAACAAGAGGCUAGUAUUGCCGCAGAUAUUAUUGUUACUGAGGAGCUUCCAGAUGCUCAUGUAUCCGAAUGUCAGCCUGAUGUGCCUGGAAUUAGUGAUCGCCGAACAGGUCAUUUCUCAUCUGCUCCAAAGAAGAGUGAACUAAGAAUUGGAGAGUCAUCGGCCUUUAUCACUUAUGUCAAAGCUCCAUUGCCGAAUAGCAACUUUGAAAUGAUUUCUCAUGUUGGCAAUAAUGCAACUACACAAGGGAUGGUGGAAGAUAAGAAUCAAGCAUGUGCUCAAUACAGGGUUAAUGACCUUCAACCACACGAAGAUGGAGUAACCUUUGAAAGCCAUUCACAAGAUGACUUACCCAGCAGCAAUAGUGUCCCUGAUUCUUUCUCUAAUGAGAAAUCUUGCACUCCGCCUGCAUCAAGAGAUGUUUCACGGCAAAAUCAUUACAAGGAAGAACUUCCUCAGGGUGUGGUGAAUCCAAGAAAUAGAAGUCGAGGUUCUGAGCUUGAUGCAUCUGGCAUGCCUUCCCAACAUGCUUAUCCAUAUUAUCUUUCAGGAGUUGUUAAUCAAGUUAUGAUGCCAUCGUCAGCGCAAUUAUAUCAAAAGAAUAUCCAGGACCUGCAGAGUCAUGCUAAUUCAUCUAUGAUUGCACAGUACAAUCAUCUUCCCCAAUGUUUUCCUCAUGCAACUGGGAUGACAUCCAUCCCAUAUUAUCCAAUGAAUAUUUGCUUACAAGCUGGUGAGAUUUCCCGAGCUCAUUCAUGGUCACCGUUAGGAAGUUCAAGUUCAUGCGAAGUAAAAUCAAGGAAAUUUGAUGGGAGACAAGCAGCAUUGAUGAAGUUUAGACAGAAAAGGAAAGAGCGCUGUUUUGACAAGAAAAUUAGGUAUGUCAAUAGGAAACAACUUGCUGAAAGGCGACCUCGUGUGAGGGGACAGUUUGUCAGAAAGUUGAAUGAUGUUAACGUGGAUCUUAAUGGACAGCCUGCUUCCACUGAUUAUGAUAAUGAUGAUGAAGAUGAAGAAGACAACCCUGCCUAGGAUGCUUUAGAAUGUCAAAUUGCUUCUUUGAACAAAGGGUGAAUGGCCAAUAAAAUCCUUACUGCACUAAAAUUGUCACGGUGAGGACUUGGUACUGUUCCUUGCUCUGUUGGAAAAUUAUUGUGUCAGCAUUAAUUGAUGAGCUUGUGAACUCGGUUUGUCAUGGAAGCUGAUCCAAUUCCGGUGUACACCCUUAUCAUUUGGGGUUAUAACAAACUCUUGCUCGGUCUUUUUUGAAUUUCACUUCCUUAAGUGAUUCAUCUUCCUGAGCUAGAAGGCCAUUGUGAAUAAGAUGCAAAGCACAUAACACCAUAGAAGUCAUUGAAGAUGAGAUAAAAGGCAAAUGGUGGUAUGCUAAUAUUACUAGCCAAUCCUGAUCUCAGAUAUCCCAAGCAGUACGUUCUACAAUCAUACAUGCCAUUAGCUUAGUUACAGUUCAAGAAGCAUAGCAUUGACACCUAUUAAUAUCAGAUGGGACUGGGAGGGUGGAAAAAGAGUUGACAGUAUGUUUGGCUAUUAGCCUUUUCUCUUCCCGAGCAGCCAAGAAAUUAGCUUAAGCCCCCUCAACAAAUUUGCAUCAAUCAGUUCCGGUAUGCAUGGCAUCAACCUGAAAA